AUGUUAGAUUUGAUUAGAAGAGGUUAUAAACAUUCCAAAAAUGCAAAGAAAAUUUUAUCCAGAACUGUGUCGGUGCCUGAACGGAGAUUGAUCGGAGAGCCACCACGUCCACCAUUGUUGUCGUCGUGUUCUUCAUGUGUUCUUGAGUUUUUUUGUUCAAGUAAGCUCAAAUCCUUGUCUAUUUGUUAA